rnacentral:tmRNA from 1 species
GGGGGUGUAUUUUUGGUUUCGACCGGAAGUAUGAAUUCCUAGGAGCAUGUCGAGUAGCGAAAGCUCGUUAAAAAUUCGUUUAAAUAUAGUCGCAAACGACGAAACCUACGCAAUCGCAGCUUAAUAACCUGCUGAAUGCCCUCAGUUCUAAGUCUUUCUAGUGACACUUAGUCUUACUGGGGUCGGUUCUUCACUAGAUCGUGUGGAUGCCCCGUCUGUGGUUGAAGCAUUAAAGAUUAUACAGACUGGGUACUUUGUGGCGUGGCGGUCCGCAGCGGGUAUCGAGAUUAAUGAUUGCCUAAACAUGUAGCGCCGAAGAUGCAGUCUUUUGGGACGAGGGUUCAACUCCCUCCACCUCCACCA